rnacentral:lncRNA from 13 species
CUUAUAUCUCACUGGUCAUCCCCAAAGCCAACACCUCCUUUGGCCGCCUUUCCUUCCAGUUUUCUGCUGCCAAUGAAUGGAACGAAUUGCAAAAAUAGCUGAAGCUGGAGACUUGUAUUUCCCUCACUAACUUUAAACAUCGGCCUUCUGAGCAGCUAACUGAUCCUGCAGAUGUACAUAGCCCACCUGUAAAUAGCCAACCCAAUCUACCUACCUCAUCCCCAUAUUGUUUUUAUUUAAUUUUCUGCUCUUUUGCACACCAGUAUUUCUACUUGCAUAUAAUCAUCUGCUCAUCUAUUACUCCAGUGUUCAUUUUCUAAAUUGUAAUUACUCCGCUACUAUUUAUUGCCUUACCUCCUCACACCAUUUGCACACAAUGUAUAUAGACACUAUUUUCUAUUGUGUUAUUGACUGUAUGUUUGUUUAUUCCAUGUGUAACUGUCAUGUACUGUCAUGUUGUGUCUUGUCUCUGUCCUUUCCCUUCACCCUGUCUCCAUGUACUGUCAUGUUGUGUCUUGUCUCUGUCCUUUCCCUUCACCCUGUCUCCCUCUGCUGGUCGUUGUUAGGUUACCUUUCCACCCCCUCUUUUCCCCAGCUGUGCCUUGUCUCCUCCUAACCACCUCGUCACCCCUUUUCCCACCUGUUCCCUUUUUCCCUCUGAUUAGUCCCCUAUAUCUCUCUCUGUUUUUGUUCCUGUCCUUGUCGGAUUCUUGUUUGUUGUGUUUCAUGCCUGAACCAGACUGUCGUCAUGUUUGCUGUAACCUUGUCUUGUCCUGUCGGAAUCUGCCGGUCCGUCUGAGCCUACCUAUGUUUGGUAAUUAAAGAAGCUCUGUUUAAGUUAAUUCGCUUUUGGGUCCUCAUUCACGCACCGUAACAGUAACUCUGUGUUGUUGCUUGUGUCGCACUGCUUUGCUUUAUCUUGGCCAGGUCGCAGUUGUAAAUGAGAACUUUAGAAGGCUGCCUAAAUAUAUUUCCAAUCAGAGACAACGAUAGACAGCUGCCUCUGAUCGGGAAACAUACCAGGCCAACAUAGAAAUUAAAAACUAGACUACCCACCCUAAUCACACCCUGACCAAAAUAGAGAAUAAAAAGGAUCUCUAAGGUCAGGGUGUGACACCCACAAACUGUUAGGGCCUACAUAAAGCUGUCCCAACAGUAGAGCUUUCUUUUCAGCACCAUGGAGAAAAUCCUUACCACUACUACACAUGGCUAUCAGCGGAGCCUUGUCUGGCAGCAAAACUGUUAAUUCAGCCUCAAUUACUGCCUUUUUAAAAACAUAGCUGAUAUGGCUGACUUGCUUAAACUGGUGUGGUUUCUACUGACAAUUAAGAUGUACAAACUAAGGCAUAAGAUAACUAUGAACAGAUAAGAGGCAAUCUGUAAUUUCGUUUAAGAUAUUAAUGAGCGAACUAAGACGGACGUAGUCAAUAUAACUAUUUGCUCAGCACUUUUGAAAUUUACAGCAACAAAAUUCAGAACAUGGGGCGUUCUUACAGUAUUCUCCCUGUACACCAAGUCAGAGCCAUAGGAUAAAUAAAGGGAGACUAUAAGCAGACAAUUAAAGCUCUUACAAUAUUCGAUGAUGACAUUUGUCGGAAACAGACUUUAGGCUACAUGUGCACCACCAAGUCAGAACAGUAGCCUAAAUUAUGAGGGGGAAAGGUUAUUAGAGUGAGGCACAUGGGCUACUAACAGCUUACUACACGACAUACACUUAGUAUUACUUUCUAAGCUACGGUAUACAUAUCUCCCUGGCAUAUUACAUAAUUUAUGCAGUAGCAUACAAGACAUUUUUGGACUCACCUUGUUGUGCUGUGCUCACUUGAACAGGAAGGUUGCACGGCUGUCCUACUUGUGGACAAAUUUUGUCAUCAAACUUUGUCAUCAAAGUCUGGCAUUCUCUGGAUUUAUGUUGCUUUCAAGAUAACUGGGAACUCUGAAAAAAAAACAAGGUUGAAUCAUGACGUCUGUGAUCUUCAGGUCAGAGUUCUAGAAAGUUGCCAGAAUUCCCGACUUGGAAUUUCGAGUUGGAUGACCGUUCAAAAAGUAUUUUACCAGUCGGAACUAGUUUUUUUUUCCAAGUUCCCAAUUGUCUUGAACUCACUGAAGUUUGAGGUUUACGAGUUUCCGAUAGUUUUUUUAACGCAGCAGAAGUCAUGCUGGAUUGACAGCAUUGGCAAUGUAUUCAACCUUUUCUGGCCCAUGGUCUUGCAUGUGCUUGAAGGUUUUUGCGACUUCACUUGAAGAAACUUUAAAAGUUCUUGAAAUUUUACUUAUUGACUAACCUUGCUGUCUUAAAGUAAUGAUGGACUGUCAUUUAUCUUUGCUUAUUUGAGCUGCUCUUGCCAUAAUAUAGACUUGGUCUUUUACUAAUUAGGGCUAUCUUCUGUAUACCACCCCUGCCUUGUCACAUCACAACUGAUUCGCUCUGGCUACUUUUCAAUAUACAGAACAAAUCAAGUAAAACCCUGAGUACCAGUCAAAAGUUUGGACACACCUACUCAUUCAGGGGUUUUUCUUUAUUUUUUACUAUUUUCUACAUUGUAGAAUAAUAGUGAAGACAUCAAAAUUAUGAAAUAACACAUAUGGAAUCAUGUAGUAACUUCCACGCGUGCUCCGUCUCCGGCCUCUAGGUCAUCAGGCUGCUCGUUAUGGCGCAUAUUGACACUCACUUGGACUCCAUCACCUCCUUGAUUACCUGCCUGGGUUUCCUCCCCCGUCGUCAUAGUUGCUGUUUCAUGUAGAUGUGCUGUUUGUGUUUCUUGGUUUGUUCAUUUAUUUAUUAAACGUUUUCACUCCCUGAACUUGCUUUCCGACUCUCAGCGUACAUCGUUACAAAAGGACAACUCAACAAAGGGACGCAUCAGGAAGUGUUUAAAAAAAAGGGAGUAAAGUAUUUUUAAUUUUUUUUGUGUUGAAGGUGAUUUCGGGUCUGGGCGUCCGAACCAAGCUACCUGGGAGGCCUCAGACGGUUUGUCGGUUUCCCCUGCCUAAGCUGGCACAACGGGUUUCCAUACCUCAGCGGGAUCGGUAGGCUCCCAUGCCCCAGCUGGCUCAAUAGGCUUCCAUGCCUCAGCUGGUGAACAGGUUCCCGUGCCUCAACCAAGGCAACCGGGGAGGUCUCAGCCGGCUCAUCAGGCUCUCACGCCUCAGCCUGUUUGUCAGGUUUCUGUGCCUCAGCAGAUCAUCCCGUUGGUAGGCUUCCUGUGGCUGGAGCAGUAUGCUCUCUUUCCUGGCGAUCUAGGUCAUCAUGUUCCCUUGCCUCAGCCCGAAUUGGCAGGUUCCCGCGCCUUAGCAGAGGUGAUCGGUCCACUCCUGAUACCUAAAUAGGUAAAGACCUUAUAGAGUUUAAUUUGGGAGAUGG